AAGUCAUGAUAUGGGCACUUGUGCAGCAUGAGCUUAAAGCGCUCCCAUGUCUCGUAUAGUGACUCCCCUUCUAAUUGCAAAAAAUUUGUAAUAUCCAUACGAAGCUU
rfam:Gossypium raimondii Chr08_contig_392, whole genome shotgun sequence.